AGUGCUGGGACUCCAGCCGCCCGCUGCGCACCAACUGAAUCCCGUGCAAACUUUUCCGGAGGAGCUGCGGAGCACAGCGACCCCGCCUUCCCCAAGCCACUGCCCGCUUUAGGGGACCCGGCCCGUCCAGGCUCCGCUCCUCCCCAGCAUGGCUGGCUCGGACGCCCGGAGCGAGCGCGCGGCGGAAAGCGCCCGUCCCCUGGCCGCUGAGUCAACGCCCCAACUCACCCUGCCCCAUGGCCCUGCCGGGAGCCCCGAGCUCGCAGCCGCCUCGGCCACCUCGCCCUGCAGAAGUGAGGGUGAGGAGGUUUAAGCCCGUCCAGUCUUCCCAGGCAUGCCUCCCUUGAUGUAAACAGCCAACAGCUGUGAUUUGAGGACUGGACGUUCUCAGGAAUGACAGCCUAUAAGCUGAGAGAGAACAGCAGAGAUUUAGUGACCUCCUGGAAGUUUCACAGGAAUAAAGGAAUCUCAGACAGUG
rnacentral:lncRNA from 1 species